rnacentral:ncRNA from 1 species
GAGAACUAAUUUCUCGAUAGGUGGAAUGAAGAGGUAACGCUCUGAAACGCCUACUCUAAUACUCCGACAUGCCAUUUCUAUGGUUAAAUAGAUUGGUAUGAAGCUCGGUGAAGUCGGCAGAGAGAUACCGUAAGUUGAUAAGGGGCAUUCCUUGUCAAUCACGAAAGCUGUCUAGCGGUAGAUGGUGUAUCCUAUAUGCCGGGAGUCCAUAAA